UCAAUAUCAAGUUCAAGGCCGCCUUUAACUAUCUUGAAUCCAGCAUCCUCAUCAUUGCAGGUGUGCAGUGUAGGGGAGCGUGAGCACCUGCCAGGCCGCUCACAGUGAUAGAGCCCUCAAGAAGACUAAGAAGCUGUGUUGCCGAGGACCACGUCUGGCUCCAGCAGCUCAGAUGAGGAGGCGUCACGGUUCAGGGAGGCGUGUGACCUCACCCUGUGGAGGACGGCCGCGCAGGGAGCCGCCAAGAAUGAAAUCUGCAGAGCGGAGGCAUCUGAUGAGAAGCCCCAGCCAAGGCGACCAGAGGCAGGCCUUCAUGCUGCUGGAGAAGAUGCGCACAACCCUUGCCGGGGCGCAGGGCAAGGCAGGGUGUGUGGGGCUGAGGCACA